rnacentral:rRNA from 1 species
UACGUAGGGGGCAAGCGUUGUCCGGAAUCAUUGGGCGUAAAGCGUGUAGGCGGUCCGGUAAGUCGGCUGUGAAAGUCCAGGGCUCAACCCUGGGAUGCCGGUCGAUACUGCCGGACUAGAGUUCGGAAGAGGCGAGUGGAAUUCCCGGUGUAGCGGUGAAAUGCGCAGAUAUCGGGAGGAACACCAAUGGCGAAGGCAGCUCGCUGGGACGUUACUGACGCUGAGACGCGAAAGCGUGGGGAGCAAACAGG